rnacentral:rRNA from 1 species
UACGUAGGGUGCGAGCGUUUGUCCGGAAUUAUUGGGCGUAAAGGGCUCGUAGGCGGUCUGUCGCGUCGGGAGUGAAAACUUACAGCUUAACUGUGAGCGUGCUUCCGAUACGGGCAGACUUGAGGUAUUCAGGGGAGAACGGAAUUCCUGGUGUAGCGGUGAAAUGCGCAGAUAUCAGGAGGAACACCGGUGGCGAAGGCGGGUCUCUGGGCAACAACUGACGCUGAGGAGCGAAAGCGUGGGGAGCAAACAGG